CAGGUGGAACAGACAGUCGCCGCGUGGCAACACGGGGAGGAAAGUCCGGGCUGCACAGAGCAGGAUGCCGGCUAACGGCCGGGUGCGGCAACGCAACGGAAAGUGGCACAGAAAGCCAAACCGCCGAUGGUCGGGGCAACCCGAAUCAGGUAAGGGUGAAAAGGUGCGGUAAGAGCGCACCGCGCAACUGGCAACAGCUUGCGGCAGGCAAAACCCCAUCCGCAGCAAGACCAAACAGAACGCAUUGACGCUGCUCGCCGAGCGUUCGGGUAGGUUGCUCGAAUCUUGCGGCAACGCAAGGUCUAGAUGAAUGACUGUCCAACGACAGAACCCGGCUUAUCGUUUUACCUGCCCC
rfam:Kingella denitrificans ATCC 33394 genomic scaffold SCAFFOLD1, whole genome shotgun sequence.